rnacentral:rRNA from 1 species
GCUUACGGCCAUACCACCCUGAGCACGCCUGAUCUCGUCUGAUCUCGGGAAGCUAAGCAGUGUCGGGCCUGGUUAGUACUUGGAUGGGAGACCGCCUGGGAAUACCAGGUGCUGUAAGCU